CACGUAGGGUGCGAGCGUUGUCCGGAAUUAUUGGGCGUAAAGAGCUCGUAGGCGGUUUGUCGCGUCUGCUGUGAAAUCCCGAGGCUCAACCUCGGGCUUGCAGUGGGUACGGGCAGACUAGAGUGCGGUAGGGGAGAUUGGAAUUCCUGGUGUAGCGGUGGAAUGCGCAGAUAUCAGGAGGAACACCGAUGGCGAAGGCAGAUCUCUGGGCCGUAACUGACGCUGAGGAGCGAAAGCGUGGGGAGCGAACAGG
rnacentral:rRNA from 1 species